UACGAAGGGGGCUAGCGUUGCUCGGAAUCACUGGGCGUAAAGCGCACGUAGGCGGAUCUUUAAGUCAGGGGUGAAAUCCUGGAGCUCAACUCCAGAACUGCCUUUGAUACUGGGGAUCUCGAGUCCGGAAGAGGUGAGUGGAACUCCGGGUGUAGAGGUGAAAUUCGUAGAUAUUCGGAAGAACACCAGUGGCGAAGGCGGCUCACUGGUCCGGUACUGACGCUGAGGUGCGAAAGCGUGGGGAGCAAACAGG
rnacentral:rRNA from 1 species